UGAGUAACACGCGGAUAAUCUGCCCUGGAGUGGGGGAAAUCUCGGGAAACUGAGGAUAAUACCCCAUAGGUGUGGUGUGCUGGAAUGCUUCCACGCUCAAAGCUCCGGCGCUCCAGGAUGAGUCUGCGGCCUAUCAGGCUGUAGUGGGUGUAACGGACCCACUAACCGACGACGGGUAGGGGCGUUGAGAGACGGAGCCCCCAGAUGGAUUCUGAGACACGAAUCCAGGCCCUACGGGGCGCAGCAGCUACGAAAACUGUGCAAUGUGGGGAAACCACGACACGGGCAUACCGAGUGCCAAGGCUUUUGCUUUGCCUGUUCUUUUCGCCUAAAAAGCGAGAGAAGUAAGGGCCGGGUAAAACGGGUGCAACCCCCCGCGGUAAUACCCGCGGCCCGAGGGGGGGCUCAUUAUUUUUUGAGCUUAAAGCGUCCGUAGCCGGCCUCGUAAAUCUUUUGGGUAAAUCGGGCAGCUUAACUGUUCCGAAUUCCCGAGGAGACUGCAAGGUUUGGGACCGGGAAAAGGUUCGAGGAACUCCGGGGGGUAGGGGUUAAAAUCCCUGAAAUCCUCAGAGGACCACCCAGUGGCCGAAGGCUUCGAACUAGAACGGAUCCAACGGUGAGGGACGAAACCCCUGGGGCCGCAAACGGGAUUAGAAUCCCCCGGUAGUCCCAGGGUGUAAAACGCUGCGGGCUUGGUGGUCGAAGGUCUCUACGUGGGCUUCCCGGUGCCGGAAAAGAAAUUGUUAAGCCCUGCCUGCUUGGGGGAGAACGGUCGCAAGACUGAAACUUAA
rnacentral:rRNA from 1 species